UCAACCGUCAUGCCAGCCACCAUGAAUGUUCACCGGCUAGCCACUUACAGAGACCGUCUCCAGGCUGGUUCACCGGUGCAACCAGAACUUCAGGCUUUCAGACUUGCUUCUGACAGUCCGGUACAGUGAUUCAACCAAUCUAGAUGUGCUAAACGAACCAGAUUCUCACAUUCCUGAAGAACGUUUCGGUGAUCACGAUUCGCUUCUUGGCCCAGCCAACACCAACACACAUCUUCUAGACGUUAUUACUGAGCUCACUGCUAUGAGAAGUACGGUGAGUGACAUUCCUCAAGUAAAAGAGCGAGUUAUGGCGACUAUGUAGAUCGACAGUCUGUUUGACUCACAAGCGAUCUCUUUUCACAAGAAACUUGAAGGUUGUUGUUGCAAGUAGCAUAAACCCAAAGAUGGUAGGAGGACGUUUAUCACACUUGUGUUUUUCGACAAGGAAACUGAUGCAGAAGCUUGACAUGUCUCUUUCAUUUAAAGAUCAGUCAAAACAGAACACAUUCAGAUCUCGAUUAUUAAUCUAUAGUACAUGAAGAAGUUUCAGGUAGAUAUUUAUUUCCCUAUGUCAUCUAAUCUUAUUCAUGUUCAAAGUAUGAAGGUUGUCUCAUGAACGGAGAUGAUGAUUGUGUCAUCCUUUAGCACGUUAAACAUGACAGACAUGAUCUUUUGAAGAGAGAAAUAGAUGUGUAUCUGCUGCAGUUGUACGGCUACUGAGAUAGAGAGGACACACAAGAGGAUGAAUACAAAAUAUAGAUCUGCAGUACUAAUCAUAUCUACUAAUAUAUA